ncrna:Oryza sativa miR444d stem-loop (osa-MIR444d)
GUGGCACCAAGCAUGAGGCAACAACUGCAUUACUUGCAAGAAAGGCACAAAAUCAUUAGAUGAUUACUUGUGGCUUUCUUGCAAGUUGUGCAGUUGCUGCCUCAAGCUUGCUGCCUCC